rnacentral:rRNA from 1 species
GAUGAACGCUAGCUACAGGCUUAACACAUGCAAGUCGAGGGGUAACGAGAGGAAAGCUUGCUUUCCUUGUCGACGACCGGCGCACGGGUGAGUAACGCGUAUCCAACCUGCCCCCAACUAGGGAAUAACCUUGCGAAAGUAAGACUAAUACCCUAUAAUUUCCUCAGAUGUCAUCUGACGACGAAUAAAGAUUUAUCGGUUGUGGAUGGGGAUGCGUCUGAUUAGCUUGUUGGCGGGGUAACGGCCCACCAAGGCAACGAUCAGUAGGGGUUCUGAGAGGAAAGUCCCCCACAUUGGAACUGAGACACGGUCCAAACUCCUACGGGAGGCAGCAGUGAGGAAUAUUGGUCAAUGGGCGGAAGCCUGAACCAGCCAAGAAGCGUGCAGGAUGACGGCCCUAUGGGUUGUAAACUGCUUUUAUACAGGAAUAAAGUUAGCCACGUGUGGUUAUUUGUAGGUACUGUAUGAAUAAGGACCGGCUAAUUCCGUGCCAGCCGCCGCAGUAA